rnacentral:rRNA from 1 species
UACGAAGGGGGCUAGCGUUGCUCGGAAUCACUGGGCGUAAAGCGCACGUAGGCGGCUUCUUAAGUCAGGGGUGAAAUCCUGGAGCUCAACUCCAGAACUGCCUUUGAUACUGAGGAGCUCGAGUCCGGGAGAGGUGAGUGGAACUCCGAGUGUAGAGGUGAAAUUCGUAGAUAUUCGGAAGAACACCAGUGGCGAAGGCGGCACUCUGGGCCGUGACUGACGCUGAGGAGCGAAAGCGUGGGUAGCAAACAGG